GCGGCGUGCUUAACACAUGCAAGUCGAACGGAAAGGCCCUGCUUUUGUGGGGUGCUCGAGUGGCGAACGGGUGAGUAACACGUGAGUAACCUGCCCUUGACUUUGGGAUAACUUCAGGAAACUGGGGCUAAUACCGGAUAGGAGCUCCUGCUGCAUGGUGGGGGUUGGAAAGUUUCGGCGGUUGGGGAUGGACUCGCGGCUUAUCAGCUUGUUGGUGGGGUGGUGGCUUACCAAGGCUUUGACGGGUAGCCGGCCUGAGAGGGUGACCGGCCACAUUGGGACUGAGAUACGGCCCAGACUCCUACGGGAGGCAGCAGUGGGGAAUAUUGCACAAUGGGCGGAAGCCUGAUGCAGCAACGCCGCGUGCGGGAUGACGGCCUUCGGGUUGUAAACCGCUUUCGCCUGUGACGAAGCGUGAGUGACGGUAAUGGGUAAAGAAGCACCGGCUAACUACGUGCCAGCAGCCGCGGUGAUACGUAGGGUGCGAGCGUUGUCCGGAUUUAUUGGGCGUAAAGGGCUCGUAGGUGGUUGAUCGCGUCGGAAGUGUAAUCUUGGGGCUUAACCCUGAGCGUGCUUUCGAUACGGGUUGACUUGAGGAAGGUAGGGGAGAAUGGAAUUCCUGGUGGAGCGGUGGAAUGCGCAGAUAUCAGGAGGAACACCAGUGGCGAAGGCGGUUCUCUGGGCCUUUCCUGACGCUGAGGAGCGAAAGCGUGGGGAGCGAACAGGCUUAGAUACCCUGGUAGUCCACGCUGUAAACGGUGGGUACUAGGUGUGGGGUCCAUUCCACGGGUUCCGUGCCGUAGCUAACGCUUUAAGUACCCCGCCUGGGGAGUACGGCCGCAAGGCUAAAACUCAAAGGAAUUGACGGGGCCCCGCACAAGCGGCGGAGCAUGCGGAUUAAUUCGAUGCAACGCGUAGAACCUUACCUGGGUUUGACAUGGAUCGGGAGUGCUCAGAGAUGGGUGUGCCUCUUUUGGGGUCGGUUCACAGGUGGUGCAUGGCUGUCGUCAGCUCGUGUCGUGAGAUGUUGGGUUAAGUCCCGCAACGAGCGCAACCCUUGUUCACUGUUGCCAGCACGUUAUGGUGGGGACUCAGUGGAGACCGCCGGGGUCAACUCGGAGGAAGGUGGGGAUGACGUCAAGUCAUCAUGCCCCUUAUGUCCAGGGCUUCACGCAUGCUACAAUGGCUGGUACAGAGAGUGGCGAGCCUGUGAGGGUGAGCGAAUCUCGGAAAGCCGGUCUCAGUUCGGAUUGGGGUCUGCAACUCGACCUCAUGAAGUCGGAGUCGCUAGUAAUCGCAGAUCAGCAACGCUGCGGUGAAUACGUUCCCGGGGCUUGUACACACCGCCCGUCAAGUCAUGAAAGUUGGUAACACCCGAAGCCGGUGGCCUAACCGUUGUGGGGGAGCCGUCGAAGGUGGGACUGGUGAUUAGGACU
rnacentral:rRNA from 1 species